CUUAAAGGAAUUGACGGGGACCCGCACAAGCGGUGGAUGAUGUGGUUUAAUUCGAUGCAACGCGAAAAACCUUACCUACCCUUGACAUGCCAGGAACCCUGCAGAGAUGUGGGGGUGCUCGCAAGAGAGCCUGGACACAGGUGCUGCAUGGCUGUCGUCAGCUCGUGUCGUGAGAUGUUGGGUUAAGUCCCGCAACGAGCGCAACCCUUGCCAUUAGUUGCUACGAAAGGGCACUCUAAUGGGACUGCCGGUGACAAACCGGAGGAAGGUGGGGAUGACGUCAAGUCCUCAUGGCCCUUAUGGGUAGGGCUACACACGUCAUACAAUGGCCGGUACAGAGGGCUGCCAACCCGCGAGGGGGAGCCAAUCCCGUAAAACCGGUCGUACUCCGGAUUGCAGUCUGCAACUCGACUGCAUGAAGUCGGAAUCGCUAGUAAUCGCGGAUCAGCAUGUCGCGGUGAAUACGUUCCCGGGUCUUGUACACACCGCCCGUCACACCAUGGGAGCGGGUUCUGCCA
rnacentral:rRNA from 1 species